rnacentral:rRNA from 1 species
GGGCCCGCACAAGCGGUGGAGUAUGUGGUUUAAUUCGAUGCAACGCGAAGAACCUUACCAGGGCUUGACAUCCUGGUCGCGGUUAGAGGAGACUCUUACCUUCAGUUCGGCUGGACCAGUGACAGGUGCUGCAUGGCUGUCGUCAGCUCGUGUCGUGAGAUGUUGGGUUAAGUCCCGCAACGAGCGCAACCCUCGUCCUUAGUUGCUACCAUUUAGUUGGGCACUUUAAGGAAACUGCCGGUGAUAAGCCGGAGGAAGGUGGGGAUGACGUCAAGUCCUCAUGGCCCUUACAGGCUGGGCUACACACGUGCUACAAUGGCGAUGACAGUGGGCAGCGACCCCGCAAGGGUGAGCUAAUCUCCAAAAGUCGUCUCAGUUCGGAUUGUCCUCUGCAACUCGAGGGCAUG